AACUUAUGACCUUGCAAGCCUGGCCCGGUUCCUUGUGUUCCGUUGUGACGGGCUUGCGGGUCAUCCUUCUGGAGAUGGCUUCUGACCUUUACUGGUUGGUUGCUUGAUCCAGAUCCUUUACUGUGAGAAAAACAAAGUGUUCAAAGCAGGCUUUAUGCUUGAAUGCGUUAGCAUGGAAUAAUAAGAUAGGACUUCGGUUCUAUUUUGUUGGCUUUCAGAACCAAAGUAAUGAUUAAUAGGGAUAGUUGGGGGUGCUCGUAUUUAACGGUCAGCGGUGAAAUGCAUGGACCCGUUAAAGACGAACUUAUGCGAAAGCAUU
rnacentral:rRNA from 1 species